GUCUUUUAAUUGGAGUCUGGAAUGAAUGGUUGGAUGAGGGAUUGACUUUCUUUACUUUAAGAUUAUGAAUUUGAUUUCUAUGUUAAAAAGCAUGGAUUUUAUUAUAGGACGAGAAGACCCUAUAAAACUUUAUUAUUUAUAUAUAAUGGUUGUUAUAGUAUUAUUAUUUAGUCUUUUUAUAUAAAUAAUUUGAUUGGGGUGAUGGAAAAAAUUUUAUAACUUUUUUUAAAAAAAACAUAUAUUUAUGUUAUUUUGAUCCUUUAUUAUGGAAAUAAGAUUAAGUUACUUUAGGGAUAACAGCGUUAUUUUAUCAAAGAGUUCAUAUCGAAGAUAAAGUUUGCGACCUCGAUGUUGGAUUAAAAUUAGGAGCAGGGGUAGGUUCUUGUUUUUUAGGUCUGUUCGACCUUUAUAUUUUUACA
rnacentral:rRNA from 1 species